rnacentral:misc_RNA from 1 species
GCUUAAAUCAACCUCCAAUCUGGUAAUCAAUUACCCACAUCUUUCCUUGCUCUAUUUCAGUUUACGCUCUAUUUUUGGAUUAUUGAUUGUUUCGAAGGCUGUUUCCUUAUUAAUAAUAUUAUUAUUAUUAUUAUUAGGGUGCAUUUCAAUUGAGGUCAAAGAAGGUAAAUGGUUAACAUUGUUUCGUUGGUUCGAUUCUUUGAGGGGAUAACAAGGGGGUUUAAUAAUUAACCACCUUCUAGUUUAUUUUUUGUUAAGCCCCCUCCCCCAUAGUUUAAAAGAGUGAAAAGAAUGGUGUGAGAAAAAAUUCACUUAUUUAAUUGUAUGAGCAUGUAUCACAAUUAAUAUAAUAUUUAAAUAAUAAAAUAGUAGCAAAUUAUUUAUUAAAAAUAACCUUAAAAUAAA